ACUCGUCGUACCAUCUAAUCUCGU
rnacentral:snRNA from 1 species